rnacentral:rRNA from 1 species
AUUGAACGCUGGCGGCAUGCCUUACACAUGCAAGUCGAACGGCAGCACGGGAGCAAUCCUGGUGGCGAGUGGCGAACGGGUGAGUAAAGUAUCGGAACGUGCCCAGUCGUGGGGGAUAACGUAGCGAAAGUUACGCUAAUACCGCAUACGAUCUAUGGAUGAAAGCGGGGGAUCGCAAGACCUCGCGCGAUUGGAGCGGCCGAUAUCAGAUUAGGUAGUUGGUGGGGUAAAGGCUCACCAAGCCGACUAUCUGUAGCUGGUCUGAGAGGGCGACCAGCCACACUGGGACGGAAAAACGGCCCAGACUCCUACGGGAGGCAGCAGUGGGGAAUUUUGGACAAUGGGCGAAAGCCUGAUCCAGCCAUGCCGCGUGCAGGAUGAAGGCCUUCGGGUUGUAAACUGCUUUUGUACGGAACGAAAAGGUUUGGGCUAAUAAGCUGAGCUCAUGACGGUACCGUAAGAAUAAGCACCGGCUAACUACGUGCCAGCAGCCGCAGUAA